CAAAGGGUAGUUUAAAUAAAAUGUUAGUUUUGGAAAUUAAUGAUAAGAAUUUCUUUCCUUUGA
rnacentral:tRNA from 1 species